CGGCCCGUAGCUCAGAGAAAGAGCGCCCAGCGGGUUAACCCUUAAGGGAGGUCGGGGGUUAGAGUCCCUUCGGGCCGU
rnacentral:tRNA from 1 species